rnacentral:lncRNA from 1 species
GGACACCUGGCACAGCAUGGCUUGACAAGUGAAUACAGAAUGAUUUUCUAAAAGCAAUGUCAUGAGAAGAAGCAAUAAAAAAUUAUGCAGCCAGAAAAGACUCUUUAGAGUUAAAAACAUUAUCAAAGGUGGAAGUAGCCUUAUGGAUAAAGAAACAGAGAAGUUGUGGUCUGCCAAGAUUCUACGGUUUGUGAAUGGCACAGCUCGGACAGGACACCGGAUCUUCUGAUAACUGCCAUAUCGGUGACUUUUUUUCACUAGGAGGUAGUAAUGAGCUGUGGGAGAGGGGGAGAACACGGAACUGUAAAUGCUAAGCAGG